rnacentral:rRNA from 1 species
UCGGGAAUUUUGGGCAAUGGGGGAAACCCUGACCCAGCAACGCCGCGUGAAGGAUGAAGUAUUUCGGUAUGUAAACUUCGAAAGAAUAGGAAGAAUAAAUGACGGUACUAUUUAUAAGGUCCGGCUAACUACGUGCCAGCAGCCGCGGUAAUACGUAGGGACCAAGCGUUGUUCGGAUUUACUGGGCGUAAAGGGCGCGUAGGCGGCGUGGUAAGUCACUUGUGAAAUCUCCGAGCUUAACUCGGAACGGUCAAGUGAUACUGCUGUGCUAGAGUACAGAAGGGGCAAUCCGAAUUCUUGGUGUAGCGGUGAAAUGCGUAGAUAUCAAGAGGAACACCUGAGGUGAAGACGGGUUGCUGGGCUGAUACUGACGCUGAGGCGCGAAAGCUAGGGUAGCAAACGGGAUUAGAUACCCGCGUAGUCCCUGAGCGGGCUGGCAAGGCGCAU